rnacentral:lncRNA from 1 species
CAGGACCCCGUCCUCACCACUGACCCACAACACACAACCUGUGCCAGUGUCCUUCCAUGACACCAUCCAGGCAUUUAUGAUGUAAUGAGAGGCCUGCCUGGCUCCCAUCGGAUAUGAAGGUGAAGGUGAUAAAUGCUUAUACUCUCAUGAUGGUGUGUGUGUGUGUGUGUGUGUGUGUGUGUGAACUCUGGGUCCACAUCACUACCAUGUCAUGGUGGGAAACUCUCUCACUCCCCAGACAUUUUAACAUUUUUGCAGAACAUCUCUUUUCUAUUGUGUGGAUUGGAGAUUCAUCUAUGCCGUGAUGGUGCAAGACACCAUGUUAGCAUGGGGUCUUGUGAUCCACAGUGAGUGUCAUUAGGACUCAUGAAAAUGUUCAGAUGAUGUGAAUGGAGUUAUUUGUAAUUGAUGAAUAUUUCUGGUCAGGAAAUGUUAAGUACAAGUAAGUGCAAGCACUAUAGUUGAAUUCUAAGUCUGUAAGAAAGAGGCUGAAUAGGUAAACACACAAUCAAGUGUCCAGAGAGACUCCCUGGGGGAAACUACUCCAUGGAGAGGAAGCCCAGACCCUGACAGGAAACCUGCCCAGAACCUCCCUCUGCACCUGCUCAUGGGCCUUCAAGAUAGAAGUGGUGAGUAGUGUGCACCCCCUGGUGGUCCUGAUCCCCUUCUACAGGGAUGUUUGUGUCUGGGCUCACACAGAGGUCCCUUCACUGUUUCUGCACAGUAAUACACAGCCAUGUCCUCAGCUCUCAGGCUGUUCAUCUGAAGAUACAGCAUGUUCUUGGCGUUGUCUCUGGAGAUGGUGAAUCGGCCCUUCACAACGUCUUUGUAACCCUUGCUACUUCCAUCAUAGCUAAUGUAUGCGACACACUGCAACCCUUUCCUAGAGCCUAAUGGACCCAGCUCAUGUCAUAGUUACUGAAGGUGAAUCCAGAGGCCACACAGGACAGUCUCAGAGACCCCCCAGGCUUCACCAGGUCUCCCCCAGACUCCACCAGCUGUACAUCACUCUGGACACCUGCAGACACAAGACAUCCUGGUCAGGAAACUGUCCCACAUCCCCUGUUUCUCAUUCACCUCCACUCACAGCCUCAAGCUCCAUUGCUCUCCAUGAGUUACCUUUAAAAAUAGCGACAAGGAAAACCCAGCUGAGACUCCAUUGUGGUAUGUCUGUGUUCUGUCCUGGUCUCUGAAUGGUGUCACCUGGAGAUCCUGGGGCCUGGGCUGCUCUCCCAGCUGCAUGGUCAUUAGAGUGAGGGCCCUAUUUUCAUUUCCUCUAACUAUAUAGUCAACCCCAGACUUAGACUCAUUUUUAACAAGUUAUAUACAAGCAUUACUUCACAAUCCUAGAUCACUUUCUUUACGUGGGACAGUGGAUUUUUGAUGUUCUAACCCAUCAACAUAUUUAUCUUUACAUUUCCCUGUGCCUUUUGAAAUUCUUUCAUCAAUAUAGGUCAUUUUUUAAAGAUUUACUUAUUUAUUUGUGAUAGAUGAGAAAGAGAGAGAGAGAGAGAGAGAGAGAGAGAGAGAGAGAGAAAGGCAGAGACACAGGAGGAGGGAGAAGCAGGUUCCAUGCCAGGAGCCUGAUGUGGGACUCGAUCCUGGGACUCCAGGAUCGUGCCCUGGGCCAAAGGCAGGCGCUAAACCACUGAGCCAUGCAGGGAUCCCCAAUAUAGGUCAUUUUUAAACAGGAUUUUCUCUCCGUAAUGAAGUUUAAUCAUAAAUAUUUAUUUUUGAUACCAGUGUAAAGUGGAUUAUUUUGCAAAUUUUAUACAGAAAAAUUUGUUGUUACUGUGUAGAAAUUAACUUUAUUGUCUAUGUUUAUUUGAUAUCAUGUAUUUUCCCUGAGCUCAUUACUUACUUCUAAGUGUUUUUCUCCAAGGAUUUUCCUCGUUUACUUUGUAUAUGCAAACACAUUGUUUUUCUUCCUGUUGACUGAUUUUAAUAUCUUUUAUUUUAUUAUUGCCUAAUUUCUAUGGUACUCUUCAAUGGCAUAGACGUUUUCCCUCUUCUCUAUCUGAUUCUUCGUUUGAAUAUUUUGUUUGAAUAUAGCAGAUCUAGGAGAGCAGAUGAAUUUCAACUUCAUGUGGAUGAGCUCACUAAUCUAUGGUGUGAUGUAGGAAUUCAGGACAGGACAGGAAGUCUGUUCACAACUUCUGCCCAAUUCUGAUUGAAGAUACUGGUGGCUGUUGCAUUUGAUAAUUCAGUGUAGAUUUGAUUUGAGCCUUUAAUCUGAUGAGACAUUUCCAAAAAUCUUCUCUCAUUCUGUAUGUUGCCUUUUAAUUACACUGAGUGAUUCCUUUGCUGUGAAAAUGCUCUUUCCUUGAUGAAGUCCCCAUAGUUCAUUUUCC